AGACGAGGGAUCCUAGCGUUGUUCGGAAUUAUUGGGCGUAAAGCGGGUGUAGGUGGCUAUGUAAGUCAAGUGUGAAAGCCUGGGGCUCAACCCCAGAAGUGCAUUUGAUACUGCGUAGCUUGAGUGCUGGAGAGGUUACUAGAAUUGUUGGUGUAGUGGUGAAAUACGUAGAUAUCAACAGGAAUACCGGUGGCGAAGGCGGGUAACUGGCCAAGCACUGACACUCAGACCCGAAAGCGUGGGGAUCAAACAGGAUUAGAUACCCUGGUAGUCCACGCCGUAAACGAUGGAUACUUGUUGUUGGAGGUAUUGACCCCUUCAGUGACGAAGCUAACGCGUUAAGUAUCCCGCCUGGGGAGUACGGUCGCAAGAUUAAA
rnacentral:rRNA from 1 species